GAUGAAGAACGUAGCGAAAUGCGAUAAGUAAUGUGAAUUGCAGAAUUCAGUGAAUCAUCGAAUCUUUGAACGCACAUUGCGCCCGCCAGUAUUCUGGCGGGCAUGCCUGUUCGAGCGUCAUUACAACCCUCAGGCCCCCGGGCCUGGCGUUGGGGAUCGGCGGAGCCCCCCGUGAGCACACGCCGUCCCCCAAAUGCAGUGGCGGUCCCGCCGCAGCUUCCAUCGCGUAGUAGCUAACACCUCGCGACUGGAGAGCGGCGCGGCCACGCCGUAAAACACCCAACUCUUCUGAAGUUGACCUCGAAUCAGGUAGGAAUACCCGCUGAACUUAAGCAUAUCAAUAAGCGGAGGA
rnacentral:misc_RNA from 1 species